rnacentral:tRNA from 1 species
GGGCCCAUAGGCUAUCGGUAAACUGCCUCCAUGGCAUGGAGGAUUGCGGAGUUCAAUUCUCCGUGGGUCCA